rnacentral:rRNA from 1 species
ACUCCUGCGGGAGGCAGCAGUGGGGAAUUUUGGACAAUGGGCGAAAGCCUGAUCCAGCAAUGCCGCGUGCAGGAUGAAGGCCUUCGGGUUGUAAACUGCUUUUGUACGGAACGAAAAAGCUCCUUCUAAUACAGGGGGCCCAUGACGGUACCGUAAGAAUAAGCACCGGCUAACUACGUGCCAGCAGCCGCGGUAAUACGUAGGGUGCGAGCGUUAAUCGGAAUUACUGGGCGUAAAGCGUGCGCAGGCGGUUAUGUAAGACAGAUGUGAAAUCCCCGGGCUCAACCUGGGAACUGCAUUUGUGACUGCAUGGCUAGAGUACGGUAGAGGGGGAUGGAAUUCCGCGUGUAGCAGUGAAAUGCGUAGAUAUGCGGAGGAACACCGAUGGCGAAGGCAAUCCCCUGGACCUGUACUGACGCUCAUGCACGAAAGCGUGGGGAGCAAACAGGAGUAGAAACCCUGGUAGUCCCAUG